UCGUCGAUCUGCUGCGGGCAGAUGAAGUGGAUGUGGCAGUCGAUGCCGCCCGCGGUGAUGAUCUUGCCCUCGGCGGCGAUCGCUUCGGUGCCGGGCCCGAUGAUGAUGUCGACGCCGGGCUGGAUGUCGGGAUUGCCGGCCUUGCCGAUGGCGACGAUCACCCCGCCCUUGAGGCCGAUAUCGGCCUUCACGAUGCCCCAGUGAUCGACGAUCAGGGCAUUGGUGAUGACCGUGUCGACGGCGCCCUGCGCGCGCGUGCGCUGGCUCUGGCCCAUGCCGUCGCGG
rfam:Reticulomyxa filosa solexa2680106_1.exp, whole genome shotgun sequence.